rnacentral:pre_miRNA from 1 species
CAUGUACUCCCUCCGUUCUAAAUUACUUGUCAUAGAAAUGAAUGUAUCUAAAACUAAAAUACAUCUAGAUACAUCUAUAUCUGUGACAAGUAAUUCGGAACGAAGGGAGUAUUUA